rnacentral:rRNA from 1 species
AGUCGAACGGGUGCCUUCGGGCACUAGUGGCGGACGGGUGAGUAACGGGUGGGAACGUGCCCUUUGGUUCGGAAUAGCCUCGGGAAACUGGGAGUAAAACCGGAUAAGCCCUUCGGGGGAAAGAUUUAUCGCCAAAGGAUCGGCCCGCGUUGGAUUAGGUAGUUGGUGGGGUAAUGGCCUAUCAAGCCGACGAUCCAUAGCUGGUUUGAGAGGAUGAUCAGCCACACUGGGACUGAGACACGGCCCAGACUCCUACGGGAGGCAGCAGUGGGGAAUCUUAGACAAUGGGGGAAACCCUGAUCUAGCCAUGCCGCGUGAUCGAUGAAGGCCUUAGGGUUGUAAAGAUCUUUCAGUGGGGAAGAUAAUGACGGUACCCACAGAAGAAGCCCCGGCUAACUCCGUGCCAGCAGCCGCGGUAAUACGGAGGGGGCUAGCGUUGUUCGGAAUUACUGGGCGUAAAGCGCACGUAGGCGGACCGGAAAGUCAGAGGUGAAAUCCCAGGGCUCAACCUUGGAACUGCCUCUGAAACUCCUGGUCUUGAGGUCGAGAGAGGUGAGUGGAAUUCCGAGUGU